UGAGGAAUAUUGCGCAAUGGACGAAAGUCUGACGCAGCCAUGCCGCGUGCAGGAUGACGGCCCUAUGGGUUGUAAACUGCUUUUGUAUGGGAAUAAACCCUUCUACGUGUAGAAGGCUGAAGGUACCAUAAGAAUAAGCACCGGCUAACUCC
rnacentral:rRNA from 1 species